GUAAACCAAGAAAUCGUAAAACAAGUCCAAACAACAGGAAGUUUUAAAUUCCAAACUACCCCAUCUUUGUAAGCAUGUAUGCCUAUUCAAGAAACAAAGUCAUAUAUGCUAAUAAAGCAUAUACUUAUGAUGGAGAACUCAUAAAAUACUGGAGGGAUAACCUUCAUUUUAUCUUCAUCUGAUCAAAUAAAGAUAAGGUAUCUUCCUUACAAAUCCCUAACUACUUUUGUGUACUCGAAUCAUGUAAUCUGAAAUCACAUGGAAGAGCCAUUAAACCACAACUGAUCUUAAAUGAUGGGAAGCUUGAUUAAUCCAAAUGGAUGGUUUCCAUUCUAUGUAGAAUUUGCUAAUACGGUGCAUGUGCAACAAGAAAGAAUAGGAGGACGAAAUUGGGAGGCAUAAUGGGUUGAAAAGACCCAAAUACCCUCAUGUAUAUCAUUUAUGUAGUUUAUAUUCAUUAAAAAAUAACAAUUGUGAGGUAUUAUCAUUUAUGUAGAGUUUUCAUUCCAUAUUUGAUGCUAAUAUCGAAUGAGUCUUUCCUUCCGAAUGUAAAUACACUAUAUUGUUGUAGAUAGUAAUGUUGCUCAAAUAUCUCUAAGAGUGACUUAUACUCUAUAGUUCCAUUUGUCUAAAUUUUUAUUAUUAUCUUCUGAAGCAAGCUAUGUCAGGUCCCACAAAUUAAUAUAAUUUCAAUCUUUUAUAAGAAUUUUUUACUAAAUGUAUGUGUAGAAACUAUUAGUUUGCAGAUAACCACAGGAGGCCAAUGGGUGA